rnacentral:rRNA from 1 species
GUCGGUGAUCUUACCGCGGGGGUUCCACCCGUUCCCAUCCCGAACACGGAAGUUAAGCCCCGCUGGGCCGAUGGUACUGCACGCGCCAAGUGUGUGGGAGAGUAGGUCGUUGCCGGCA